UGGCAUAAUGGUUAAGUGAUCAGCUGUUAACUGAAAGGCUGGUGGUUCAAAUCCACC
rnacentral:tRNA from 1 species